UCCAGUACCUACACGGCUACACCCAUCCAACACGGCAACACAGCUCAGUCUUUCUGAAUCAUCUCCGUCAUCUCACAUGAUCAACCUUCUUCCAACUUCUUCUCUUCUCUUGCAUUCCGUCAUCUCGCUUCCAACCCAUCCAACACGGCAACACAACUCAGCCUUUCUGAACCAUCUUCGUCAUCUCGCAUCAUCAGCACAACGUCCUGCCAUUCUUCAAGACCAUAUCCUAUUCAUCUCAUCCUAAUUGAUGCAGAGAGCAUAAGCUGUCUUUAAGGAAGUUUUUUGGCACAAAGUUGAUUUAGCCUAAGAGUGGGUAGCAUCUAUGUGGUGUGAAGUAUAUGAUGUUUGAAAGGAGGUUCAGGUUCCCUUAACAGACAUGUGAUUGGAUUGGGCAGUUUUUUUCUCCAUUAUGCUCUUAUAUUUCCCAUUUUGUGUUUUCCUCUUCAAUUAAGUAGGAUUUGUUGUCCUCCUAGCUCAUUGUGUUUCCUUCUCUUUGUUUUGAUUAUUUUUUAAAUAUAAAAUACGGAUAUGCUUUUGGUUAUGUUUGGGGGAUCAAUAUCGGUCCUUUUGAAGAUAAAAAAAUGUUGAGAGAUGGCUCGCGAAUUACGAUUUUUCAAGGAACAAAUGUUGAAGGCAGGUGUUUCACCAAAACUGUCUGCAACACAGGUUGUUGUGAACAUUGAUAACCUUGAGGUAAAACUUUUAGAGAUCGAGUUAGAGUUAACUGAGAUGAAUGCAAAUGGUGAAAAAUUGCAAUGAACUUGUGGAGUAUAAGCGUGUUCUGCAGAAGAGCCUUUUGUAACUGAGAAAAAGCUGCGUAGUACAGACUAUAAGAUUAUGCUUUCUAAAUCAAUGAUGGAGAAAUGGGGGUUCUCCAACGGAUGAGCUAAUGUUGGACAUGUCACAGAUUGAGAAGCUCUCAUACCUAGCUUCUUGAUGUGGAGGAGUGUGUGUGGUGUUCGUGGUUGGAAUAGGAUUGUCAGAUCUGGUUUUUUUUUUUGCUGUGCUUUUCUUGGGUUAGAGUUCUUCCUCUACAAGAUAGAAAAUGCUGCAGAGAAAUUGCUAUUCUUCAUCCCUAACUGGACUUUAAUGUACAUAGUGAAUGCAUUUGUGGCGAUUUGGGUUUUGGUGGUGGGCCAACAUGACAAACUUCAGUAUGCAGGUUGAUACAUUCAGAUUAUUUGCAAAGUGCUAUUUUCUAUGUACCUUUUUUCUUCUUUUAUUUUACUUUAGCAGAAUGUCAGCAGGCCAAGCUUUGAUCAUAAUUCAUAACUGAUAACCAACUGCUGACACUUUUCUUCUAGAAAUGAAACUUAUUCAGCAUCAAGUAUGAAGUAAUUUAACCAUGCCGCUAUCCUGUAAUAUUUUGUUGAUCUACAAGCGCAACCUCAUAACUUCUAGCUUUUGGAUAGGAGAACAAUGACGAUUCAGGAUUUCAGAGGGAAAGCACUGGUCACCAAGGGGAGGCAGAGGCAGAGUUGAAGAAGCCAGUACUAGCACAUUGCUUCCAGCUGCAUCUUCUAUAGACAUGGGAUCUCCUAUAACUCCCAAGUACGCAGUUUACCUUUUAAUAGGACGAAAAAGAAUCAUGAGAGAAUUCUUUUACAAGGAGAAAUGAGACAAAGAAGAAAGAAGAGGAGGGGAAACUCCGAUGGUUUAGUGUUGUAUUCAAAGGACACAUAUCUCAUGUGUUAGAGCAUCUAGCCAUAGUAAUAACGACUGGUUACAUAUGGAGCUUUACAACCUUCAGUGAUUGGAAUCAGAAAAAUGCUGCAGUGGGGUUUUCUCUGCACUUGGCUUUCUUAUAGGUUUUUCUAUUGUUUCCUUUUCCAUCAUAUUUGGAAUUCAGAAUGAAAAAUGAAAAAUUGGCUACUGAGAUUUCGCGCAGUCAGAAAUUCAUAGACACAAAGGGGUUCAACUGGAAAGUCGUUUCGAUCCAAUCCAUUAUUGGGGUCAAAUGAAGACAAAGGAUAUUAUGGAAAAAUAACUCAUAUUGACCUAAAGGUUCCGCCAAGGCCUCCUAGCUAUGCGUUUGUAGAGUUUGAAGACACUCAAGAUGCUGAGGAUGCAAUUCGUGGGUGCGAUGGUUAUGAUUUUGAUGGUCACUGUUUACAGAGACACUACAGCAAGUUUCUGAAGAAGAAACCUCCCUGGGCUUCCCUUGAGGAAAAAUUUGAAGAAGAAGAAAUGGAGCAGAAGCUAGAGCUUUUCUUGCAAACAAGUUGUAAAAGCAAAAACGGUAGAUCAAAAAGCCAUUGAGAAUGUUGUCUCACAUGAAAAAGGUAGAAGUCUCAGUUUAAGAUUCAAAUGAUACUGAAAGUUGAGGAGUUUGCAUCUCUAACUGGAAAAAUCAAGGAAUCUGAAGAUUUGUUUGAGACGACAUAAGCAGCUUCCAUGGUUCAGGUGGAAGUAAUCAACACAAGGAAGAAAUAAAGGCUGCAAAAUACUUGGUUUUGAGGAAUGCAUGCAGAGAUAGCAGAUUCUAAAAGACCUGCCAUUUACUUUUUUCGCUUUUACUUGCGCAAUUGUUGGAGUUUGAUGAGUCAAAGACCUGCAAAUUCAUCCCAAGAAGAUGUUAUGCUAAAAGUCAGCUUGCCCAACCAAUACUUCUGAGUCACAAAAGAGAUGAUUUUUUAUAUUUGGGAAUGACUUUUUAAGCUAACUUAUUUAGCAGCCCACCUAUGUAACAUAUUGUGAUUAAAUGAAAUGUGUUCAUGUUGUUUUUCA